UAAAUUUACGGGUAUUGAUAUUAAAUUUUUUUACUCAAAAAAUUUUGGAUAAAAUGGGCGGGUAUCCAUUAACUUAUGGGUAUUUUGAGCAACCUGCAGAUACCCACAAAUACCCACACAUUUAUUAAUUAAAAAAUAUAUAUUAUUUUUGUAUAUAUAUACCUAAAAAUUCUAAUCUAUAUUUCUCCCAUAUAUAUCGGUAAGGAAUAUUUGCUAGUUUAACGGUGUAAAAAAAUCGGAAUAGGUUGAAUUUUUGAUAGAAAAUUCUAUUCACUACCUAAACAAAGAUCAAUAACUCCUGAUCAUUAAUUUGACAGGACAUCUGAUCAUCCAUUUUAGGAUGUCGCUCGCUUAUUGACCGUUCAUUUUAUACCCGCUUGAUGGGCUUGAUAAUGAUUUCCUAAAAUUAUAAAAUUUAUUUUCUAGA
rnacentral:lncRNA from 1 species